AGUGAACGCUGGCGGUAGGCCUAACACAUGCAAGUCGAACGGCAGCACAGUAAGAGCUUGCUCUUACGGGCGGCGAGUGGCGGACGGGUGAGGAAUACAUCGGAAUCUACUUUUUCGUGGGGGAUAACGUAGGGAAACUUACGCUAAUACCGCAUACGACCUACGGGUGAAAGCAGGGGAUCUUCGGACCUUGCGCGAUUGAAUGAGCCGAUGUCGGAUUAGUUAGUUGGCGGGGUAAAGGCCCACCAAGGCGACGAUCCGUAGCUGGUCUGAGAGGGUGAACAGGCACAGUGGGACUGAGACACGGGACAGACUCCUAGGGGAGGCAGCAGUGGGGAAUAGUGGAAAAUGGGGGGAAGCCUGAUCCAGGCGUGCCGGGUGGGUGAAGAAGGGCUUCGGGUUGGAAAACCCUUUUGGUGGGAAAAAAAAGUAUCAGGUUAAAAGCCCGUUUUUCUGACGGUACCCAAAGAAUAAGCACCGGCUAACUUCGUG
rnacentral:rRNA from 1 species